rnacentral:rRNA from 1 species
UCGAGGAUCUUCGGCAAUGGGCGCAAGCCUGACCGAGCGACGCCGCGUGUGCGAUGAAGGCCUUCGGGUUGUAAAGCACUGUCGAGGGGGAGGAAAGCCCGCAAGGGCCUGACCUAUCCCUGGAGGAAGCACGGGCUAAGUUCGUGCCAGCAGCCGCGGUAAGACGAACCGUGCGAACGUUGUUCGGAAUCACUGGGCUUAAAGGGCGCGUAGGCGGCCAUGUUAGUCUCGGGUGAAAUCUUUCGGCUCAACCGGAAACGUGCCUGGGAUACUGCAUGGCUAGAGGGAGGUAGGGGCGGACGGAACUUCCGGUGGAGCGGUGAAAUGCGUUGAUAUCGGAAGGAACGCCGGUGGCGAAAGCGGUCCGCUGGACCUCUACUGACGCUGAGGCGCGAAAGCCAGGGGAGCAAACGGGAUUAGAUACCCCCGUAGUCC